AGAGCAUUGAGGACCCGACGGCGACGCGCCUGUCCACCAUGCACGAGGAGGAGGAGGAGGACGCGGGGCAUCACCAUCCAGCGCAGAAGAGAUCUGUUAAGAAUCGAGAGGAUAAGCUCUGAUGAGAAGUCCCAGCUCCGGUUCGGUGAACAA